UAGAGUUUGAUCCUGGCUCAGAUUGAACGCUGGCGGCGUGCCUAACACAUGCAAGUCGAGCGGUAACAGGCGUAGCAAUACGUGCUGACGAGCGGCGAACGGGUGAGUAACGCUUCGGAAUCUGCCCAAUGGUGGGGAAUAACCAGCCGAAAGGUUGGCUAAUACCGCAUGAGCCCUACGGGGGAAAGCGGGGGAUCGCAAGACCUCGCGCCGAUGGAUGAGCCGAAGCCGGAUUAGCUAGUUGGUAGGGUAACGGCCUACCAAGGCGACGAUCCGUAGCUGGUCUGAGAGGACGACCAGCCACACUGGGACUGAGACACGGCCCAGACUCCUACGGGAGGCAGCAGUGGGGAAUAUUGGACAAUGGGGGAAACCCUGAUCCAGCGACGCCGCGUGUGUGAAGAAGGCCUGCGGGUUGUAAAGCACUUUUAGUGGGGAUGAAAAGCUCAGGGAUAACACCUCUGGGUCUUGACCUAACCCACAGAAAAAGCCCCGGCUAACUUCGUGCCAGCAGCCGCGGUAAUACGAAGGGGGCUAGCGUUGCUCGGAUUGACUGGGCGUAAAGGGCGCGUAGGCGGUUCGUACAGUCAGACGUGAAAUUCCUGGGCUCAACCUGNGGGCUGCGUUUGAUACGUGCGGGCUUGAGUCCGGAAGAGGGUCGUGGAAUUCCCAGUGUAGAGGUGAAAUUCGUAGAUAUUGGGAAGACACCCGGUGCGAAGGCGGCGACCUGGUCCGGUACUGACGCUGAGGCGCGAAAGCGUGGGGAGCAACAGGAUUANNAUACCUGGUAGUCCACGCCGUAAACAUGUGCCCUGGAUGU
rnacentral:rRNA from 1 species